AGGAAUGAUGCAUCUUUUUGACUAAAGAUGGAGCCAUCACCAAUUCAACACAGAACUAAAGAAAUCACCAGAUGGUGCAUUCCAAGAGAGGACUCGGCAGCUGAAGACUGGGCCCAUGGUGGGUUCCGAAGGUUGGACGAAGACGGGCCCUCGGUGGGUGCCGGAGGUCGGAGAGAAGACGAAGAGGAGCGAGUAGUUACGACAAAUGCAGAACACGACACCUGAAAGACAAGGGAUCUCUGGUAAUGAAGCCUAUCUUUUGUCACAGGACAGAACCCACACCCAAAUCAACACUCGACAAAAGAAAGAAGGAGCAUACAUUGAGGAACAGGAGCAUCAGAACCCUACCACGGAUUGUCACUGGGAAAAACAAGGCACCACAACUGACCAGAAGUAGCUGGAGCUAACGAUGAUUG